GGCGCGAUGGCCGAGAAGUUAGGCAGCGGUCUGCAAAACCGUUUACAUCGGUGCGAAUCCGAUUCGCGCCU
rnacentral:tRNA from 1 species